GACAAAUCAUCCAGAGAAACCACUUCUCUCUUUUCUGAAAGCACUGGCUGUUCUCAGGAGCCCUGAAACUCAUUAUUCCCCUGAAUGUGAACAGCAGAGUUCAGUUUGCAAGCAAGUUGAGAUCCCUUGUUCCUAAUGAGGGCUCUGGAUGCCUCUAAAAACACUGGCAGCCAUGCACCCAGAAGUCUGCAUGUUUGCUUGCGAUGGAGAAGAAAGGGACCAGGACUCCAGGGGUUGGGUUACCUCCUCCAAGAAGCCUUCCUGGAUCACCUAAUGUAAAACUGAUCACUCAGAUUUUUCUUUCGUCAACCCACCUGUGCCCUAUAUAGGUUCCUGAAGAUGCAUGUUUUUUCACAUUUCAAAAAUCUCUGAAGUGAGGAUAUGUCUUAUAUUUGAUAGUGUGUCACAGUUUAAUUGGUAGGGUUUUUAUUAUUAUUAUUUCUCAGUGGUACCAAAAAAGGUGCAUCCAACCUCAA